rnacentral:rRNA from 1 species
ACGUUAAUCGGGGCAGGGUGAGUCGACCCCUAAGGCGAGGCCGAAAGGCGUAGUCGAUGGGAAACAGGUUAAUAUUCCUGUACUUGGUGUUACUGCGAAGGGGGGACGGAGAAGGCUAUGUUGGCCGGGCGACGGUUGUCCCGGUUUAAGCGUGUAGGCUGGUUUUCCAGGCAAAUCCGGAAAAUCAAGGCUGAGGCGUGAUGACGAGGCACUACGGUGCUGAAGCAACAAAUGCCCUGCUUCCAGGAAAAGCCUCUAAGCAUCAGGUAACAUCAAAUCGUACCCCAAACCGACACAGGUGGUCAGGUAGAGAAUACCAAGGCGCUUGAGAGAACUCGGGUGAAGGAACUAGGCAAAAUGGUGCCGUAACUUCGGGAGAAGGCACGCUGAUAUGUAGGUGAAGCGACUUGCUCGUGGAGCUGAAAUCAGUCGAAGAUACCAGCUGGCUGCAACUGUUUAUUAAAAACACAGCACUGUGCAAACACGAAAGUGGACGUAUACGGUGUGACGCCUGCCCGGUGC